UACGUCGGGUGCGAGCGUUGUCCGGAAUUAUUGGGCGUAAAGGGCUCGUAGGCGGUUUGUCGCGUCGGGAGUGAAAACUCAGGGCUUAACCCUGAGCCUGCUUCCGAUACGGGCAGACUAGAGGUAUGCAGGGGAGAACGGAAUUCCUGGUGUAGCGGUGAAAUGCGCAGAUAUCAGGAGGAACACCGGUGGCGAAGGCGGUUCUCUGGGCAUUACCUGACGCUGAGGAGCGAAAGUGUGGGGAGCGAACAGG
rnacentral:rRNA from 1 species